rnacentral:lncRNA from 1 species
GGGCGCUGCCCGGUGGCUCUGGCCCCGCCGGGCCGUUGGCCCAGCCCGCCGGCCCCUGAGCUCCGGUAGCCCGCCGCUGGAGAAGCUGUUCGCCCGGGGCGGGCCCUUGCGGACCUUCCUCGAGCGCCAGGCGGGGUCUGAAGCCCAUUUGAAGGUCAGGAGGCCCGAGUUGCUGGCGGUGAUCAAACUGCUGAACGAGAAGGAGCAGGAGCUGCGGGAGACUGAGCACUUGCUGCACGAUGAGAAUGAAGGUUUAAGGAAACUUGCAGAGAAUGAAAUCACUUUGUGUCAAAAAGAAAUAACUCAGCUGAAGCAUCAGAUUAUCUUACUUUUGGUUCCCUCAGAAGAAACAGAUGAAAAUGAUUUGAUCCUGGAAGUAACUGCAGGAGUUGGAGGUCAGGAGGCAAUGUUGUUUACAUCAGAGAUAUUUGAUAUGUAUCAGCAAUAUGCUGCAUUUAAAAGAUGGCAUUUUGAAACCCUGGAAUAUUUUCCAAGUGAAGUAGGUGGCCUUAGACAUGCAUCUGCCAGCAUUGGGGGUUCAGAAGCCUAUAGGCACAUGAAAUUUGAAGGAGGUGUUCACAGAGUACAAAGAGUGCCAAAGACAGAAAAGCAAGGCUGCGUCCAUACUAGCACCAUGACUGUAGCAAUAUUACCCCAGCCUACUGAGAUUAAUCUGGUGAUUAAUCCGAAAGAUUUGAGAAUUGACACUAAGCGAGCCAGUGGAGCUGGGGAGCAGCAUGUAAAUACCACGGACAGUGCUGUCCGGAUAGUUCAUCUUCCAACAGAUUGGAAGUAAAGGAAGAUCAGAGAAAAUAAGAACAUAUAAUUUUCCACAGAACCGGGUCACAGAUCACAGAAUAAACAAGACGCUGCAUGAUCUUGAAACUUUUAUGCAAGGAGAUUAUCUACUGGAUGAACUUGUACAGUCAUUGAAGGAAUACGCCAAUUAUGAAUCUUUAGUAGAAAUUAUUUCCCAAAAAGUUUAAGUUGAUUUGUUAUUUAUAGACUUUCGUAGCUUAGAAAAAUUCUACAGUACAUCCACAUAGGGUGAAAGUACCCUUACUCUCUUGAAAAACGUGAGUUAACACAGUUGGAGGUAAUAUGCAUAUUCUGAAGUCAUAGAUAAUUUACACAGAUCUCUCUCAAUGCAUUAGCAAAAAUCAUACAAUAUACAGAUGGUCCUCGAUUUACAUUGUGGUUAAUUCCCAAUAAACCCGUCAUAAGUUAAAAAUGCAUAUAACGUUAGCAACACAGCAGUCUCCUAAUUAAUGACAGCUUGACUUAACAAUUUUCCAACUUUACCAUGGUGUGAAAGAGGUAUGAUUCCUAAGCCCUAAGGAGCUCCUCAGCUUGAAAUGGGGCUGCAUCCCUAUAAACCCAUCAUAAAGUCAAAAAAUCCUAAAACAUAAGUUGGUGACCAUCUGUAAUCAUGAUGUGGUGGUAAAUCUUGGACGCUACCUUACAAUAACUAGACAAAGGAAAAUCAUCCUUUGUCCUGUUCUGUGUAAAUAUUUAAUGAAUGAUCAAAACUUCAGUUUAAAUAUUAUGAAAAACUUUAAACAUAAAGUAGUAGAAAUAAGACAGUAAAUACUGUAUCCUAAUAUCCAGUCAGGAUACAGAAACCAUACCAUUAACUUGAACAGGGAUAAUUUUAAUAUAAAAAACUGUUAACUGAUAAUGGUAUUAACUUUUAAGAGGGAUGAAAGAGAGCUAUGAUGUCCUAGGACUGAGAGUACCCCAGGAAAGAAUACCCUUGAAAGGGUCUCCCCUUCCCCAUGGUGAAGUCAGGCCUAAUGGAGAGAGUGGCUACAGCCUACUCAGUGAUUGGGAAAUUCCCUGUCUUGCCCUGGGCCAGAGCUGGUGUACCGCUGGUGGAUCAGGUCUUACAAGCAAAGAACCUCACACUCUCAACUGGUAAGCCAGAAGCCUCUUGCUAGGGUGUGAGCAAAACUUGGACAGGAACUCUCAGUAGAUGUUUGUGUUUGUCAAGAUUCUCCAGACAAACUUCCUUAAAAGGAUUGGCUUGUGUUGUUAUUAUUAAGUCUAACAAGUCCAAAAGCUGGAGUGUGAGGCAGGAGGCUGGAAACCCAGGAAAGCUGAUGGUGCAAGGUCCAGUCCAAAGGUAUCUGUUGGAGGAUUCUCUUGUUCUGGGAAGAGGACGGUCUUUUUUUCUCUUCAGACCUUCACCUGACUGGAUCAAGCCCACUAACAUCGAGGAGGACAGUCUGCAUUACUCAGAGUUCACUGAUUGAUUUAAAUGUCAAUCUCAUAUAAAACACCCUCACAGAAACACCUAGAAUAAUGUUUGACCUUAUAAUUGGAAAAUCAGAGCAAAAGUUAAAUCUCUAAAAAAAAAAAAAAAAAAAGUAUGACCCAGUAGCUAGGCACCUGUGGCCCCGCCAAGUUGACACAUAAAAUUAACUGUCACAGUAUCAUCUUAGAAGUGAAAGAAGCCCCUUUAUCCUGCAGUGCCCCUCUACCACCACCUACUGACAAAGAACAUGGUGCUAUCUGGCAUGGGAGAAAUGUUCAGUUUGCUAUGGCUUGUAUGUGUCCCCUCAAAUUCAAGUGUUGCCAAUGUGACAGCAUCAAGAGGUGGGGUCUUUAAGAGAUCACUAGGCCAUGAAGGAUUCUCUUAGGACUGGGAUGAAGGCCCAUAAUAAAAGAGGUUUCAGGGAGCAUCCUGCUAGCUUGCCUUCUGUAUGUGAGAACACAGCAAGAAAGCCCUAGUCAACAAGUGCCAGCUCCUUGAUCUUAGACUUCCCAUCCUCCAGAACUGUGAGAAAUACAUUUCUGUUCCUUACAAAUUACCCAGUCUCCUGUAUUCUGUUAUAGCAGCACAAAAUGAAGAUACCAUACCUGAACACCUGAACAUUCUUCACAAGGUAGUAAAUGCACUGCUUUAUUCUGGUCUCAGUAUUGUGUGCUUAAUAAGGAAAUGAGAAAGGGUGGAUCAGGGCAUAGGAUGAACAAGUUACUGCUAGACCUCUCACAAUGCCACUAAUGGAUAAGAUUGUAUUUUCAUCAUUCUUGUCUCUUCGGAAGCUAACACCAUGCUAUAAUAGGCACUAAAUAGAUGUCUAAAAACACCUUAAGUAUUUGUCUAGAAAUCUGGUGCAUUGUUCAGAAAGAACCAAAAUUCAAAAUAAUUUCAAAGGGCCUAAAGCACUAGUUAAUCAAAAUUCAUUAGUUUUUAAUGGUACUACCACUCUCAAAUUUAAAAUGUCAUCUUACGUUCCUCUUCCUCGCAUUGGAUUUAUUGCUAAAACCUGGUAAACACUUUUAAUCCUUUUCAAUUCCAUUACCACUGCUCUUGUCCAGAAUUACUUCGCAGACUAAUAGUCACCUGACUUCUCCCCUGCAUCAGAUUUGCUGUCUAAUUCUGGUUACAAAUAAGUAACUGCCAAACUAAUCUUUCUAAAAAGCAAGACUGAUCUCGUCACUCCUUUGCUCAACAAUGUAAAAGCUCCCAUUGUCUCCCAAAUAAAACCAGCUUUCCACUGUGUAUACAAUACAAAAAAAA